CUCCCUUAAGGGUGUGCAAGGUGUGCGGCUGCACCCUUGACUUUUUCUGAGGGGCGGCACUUGAGGAAAAAAUUAAGAAAAAAAAAUUCUUUUUUUUAGAUUUUUCAACUUUUUUUUUAUUAAAUGAAAGUUUGAGUAGUUUUCGGGUUAGGUAUUUUGAUUUUUUGACGAAUUCUUAUAGUGUCAAUGUAACUCACUAGAUGGAUAAUAUGUUUUGUAGUUCAAGCAGACUAUCUUAAAAGUCCAAGUUUGAGUUUGAAUUGGUUAAGUCACGACUCAGGUACGUAUUUAUAUUUUACUUAGAUUUAACAUGUAUAAUUCUGAAUUUUAGUUGUUUGUACAAGAAUAUUUUACUCUAAACCUUUAGCUUUAAGAAUUGCUAUGACCUAUGAGUGAUCAGCAAGUGAAAAAGAGACUUCGGCAAUCAGGUUCGCAAUAUCGAAUGCAGAAGCAAAGACGAAGUGAAGAAAAUUCUAAGCAAGGGUCAGCUCUUUUACAGUUUUUAAAACCGGCAAACAGUAAUAAUAAGGAUCAACAACAGCCAAAAGAGCAUAGCCAGCGAGAAGAAGAGACUGAAGAGUUAGAAAACCAAGACCUAGAUCUAGAAUUACUUCAGGCUGAGACGGCAGGCCCUGACCCCGACACAGAAAAUAAUCCAGAUAUUCUGGAAAUCUCAAAUUUAGAUAUCACUGUCUUUGUAGAGAAAGUCAGCACUGAAGGUUCAUUUGACGCUGAAGAUCCUGCUCUGUGGCCAACGAUUAUAAAUGAAGAUUUACGCCAAACUUUAGUGAAAAAAGGCUUUCGUCAAAUCAAAAAUUUUGAAUAUCCUAGCAAUGAAAAGAAGAGAAGAUUCAAUGAAAGAUUUUUUAUUCGUCGUACGCCAAAUGGAGAAAUGGUUCCAAGAAAAUGGCUUAUGUAUUCUGUGUCAGCAGACUCUUUAUUUUGCUUUUGCUGCAAACUUUUUUCCAACGAAAGUACUUCAUGGACUAAGAGAGGUUUCGAUGACUGGACCCAUACUUCAACUGCAUUGGAAAAACACGAGAAAAACCAAAAGCAUUUUAAAGCAUUUGGUGAUUGGAAGGAUCUUGAACUUCGACUAAAAACUAACUCUACUUUAGAUCACAUAAACCAGAAGAUCAGAGAUGAACAAGUAGCAUACUGGAGGAAUGUAUUGCGCAGAAUAUUUUCGGUGGUUCGAUUUCUUGGAGUUCAAAACCUGGCCUUUCUUGGCAAAUCUCACAAGAUCUUCACUCCUGGAAAUGGGAAUUUUUUGAAAACCAUUGAACUUCUGGGGCAAUUUGACGACAUUACUAAAGAACACCUUCGACGGUCCGCUUCAAAGGAAACCAGUGUUCACUAUCUUGGUCCGACAAUCCAGAACGAAAUCAUUUCUGUUCUCAAAGAGCUUAUUUUGAAAAACAUCAUCGAUCGUCUGCUUGUUGCUAAAUAUUACGGAAUGAUUGUCGACUGUACUCCGGACAAGAGCCAUCAAGAACAGAUGAGCAUGAUUCUUCGAUUCGUCGACAUUACUGAAGCUUCUCCAGGUGUUCCAGCCCAAGUAAAAAUUUGUGAACAUUUCGUUGGAUUUUUGGUGGUAGAUCGAUCUGAUGCUAUGAGUCUUCUUGCCGUUAUAAAACAGCAUUUGGAAACACUCAAAAUUCCCUUAGAAGAUAUGCGGGGUCAAGGCUAUGACAACGGUGCAAACAUGAGCGGUAGACAUAACGGCGUUCAAAAGCGAAUCCAAGAUCUGAAUCCGAGAGCUUUGUUUGUGCCUUGUAACGCGCACAGUUUGAAUCUCGUUCUUAAUGACGCUGCAAGCUGUUGCGUAGCGGUCGUUUCUUUUUUUGGCAUUAUUCAAGCCCUUUAUGUGUUUUUCUCUUCGUCAACUAAACGCUGGCAAGUUCUUCUUCAAUUUGUCCCUAACCUAACACUUAAGCCAUUAAGUGAAACUCGCUGGGAAAGUCGUAUCGAUGCCAUCAAGCCCCUUCGCUAUCAACUUGAAAAUGUGUAUGACGCCUUACAGCAUCUGGCAAACGAUGAAACUUUAGUGGGGCCCAAUGGAACAAAAACGCGUGCUGACGCAUUUGCACUAGCAACAAACAUCGCCAAAUUCAACUUUAUCUGCUCUCUUGUUCUGUGGCAGAAUGUUCUUUUUGAAAUUAAUGUUACUAGUAAAAUUCUUCAACGAGUGGAAACAGAUUUGUCGCAAGCCACAAAACCUCUGGAUCGAACAAAACAGUUUCUCGUCAAUCUAAGAUCCGACGAGGGCUUCGCUGGAGUUAUCGCUACUGGUAAAGAACUUGCAGAAUAAAUAGAAGUUGAGCCAAAUUUUCCAUCUGAACCAACAGUCCGAGUUCGUCGAACUCGUCGUCAAUUCAAUUAUGAAUCAAGAGAUGAACCGAUUUUGGAUCCAAUGGCUAAGUUUCGGACGGAAAUAUUUUUUUACGUGAUUGACACUGCCAUUAAUUCAGUCGUUGAAAGAAACUUGACGAUUACCAAUUGAAAACAUGUUGUACUGCCUUAAAUAACGCAUUGUCCGUCGGAGAAAAAUGCGACAUUUCUCCAGAUGAUCUUUUUAUCGAAUUGCGAUCUCUCUCCCAUCGAUUUCCUUUACCAAGCGAAGACGGAAAAAUAAUUGAUUCUAGUCCUCUUGCUGCCUUGACCUUUAUCGUUCAAAAUGGAUUGUCGUCAGUUUAUCCUAAUACUGUGAUUGCAUUACGAAUUUUGCUGACCCUUCCAGUUUCUGUUGCGCAAGGAGAAAGAAGUUUUUCCAAAUUGAAACUAAUAAAAACAUAUCUUCGCUCA
rnacentral:misc_RNA from 1 species